rnacentral:rRNA from 1 species
GGGUUGUGAGGUUAAGCGACUAAGCGUACACGGUGGAUGCCCUGGCAGUCAGAGGCGAUGAAGGACGUGCUAAUCUGCGAAAAGCGUCGGUAAGGUGAUAUGAACCGUUAUAACCGGCGAUGUCCGAAUGGGGAAACCCAGUGCAAUUCGUUGCACUAUCGUUAACUGAAUACAUAGGUUAACGAGGCGAACCGGGGGAACUGAAACAUCUAAGUACCCCGAGGAAAAGAAAUCAACCGAGAUUCCCCCAGUAGCGGCGAGCGAACGGGGAGCAGCCCAGAGUCUGAAUCAGCUUGUGUGUUAGUGGAACGGUCUGGAAAGUCCGACGGUACAGGGUGAUAGUCCCGUACACCAAAAUGCACAGGCUGUGAACUCGAAGAGUAGGGCGGGACACGUGGUAUCCUGUCUGAAUAUGGGGGGACCAUCCUCCAAGGCUAAAUACUCCUGACUGACCGAUAGUGAACCAGUACCGUGAGGGAAAGGCGAAAAGAACCCCGGCGAGGGGAGUGAAAAAGAACCUGAAACCGUGUACGUACAAGCAGUGGGAGCACCUUCGGGUGUGACUGCGUACCUUUUGUAUAAUGGGUCAGCGACUUAUAUUCUGUAGCAAGGUUAACCGUAUAGGGGAGCCGCAGGGAAACCGAGUCUUAACUGGGCGUUAAGUUGCAGGGUAUAGACCCGAAACCCGGUGAUCUAGCCAUGGGCAGGUUGAAGGUUGGGUACACUAACUGGAGACCCGAACCGACUUAAUGUUGAAAAUUAGCGGAUGACUUGUGGCUGGGGGUGAAAGGCCCAAUCAAACCGGGAGAUAGCUGGUUCUCCCCGAAAGCUAUUUAGGUAGCGCCUCGUGAACUCAUCUUCGGGGGUAGAGCACUGUUUCGGCUAGGGGGUCAUCCCGACUUACCAACCCGAUGCAAACUACGAAUACCCGAAGAAUGUUAUCACGGGAGACACACGGCGGGUGCUAACGUCCGUCGUGAAGAGGGAAACAACCCAGACCGCCAGCUAAGGUCCCCAAAAGUCCAUGGUUAAGUGGGAAACGAUGUGGGAAGCACAGACAGCCAGGAUGUUGGCUUAGAAGCAGCCAUCAUUUAAAGAAAGCGUAAUAGCUCACUGGUCGAGUCGGCCUGCGCGGAAGAUGUACGGGGCUAAACCCAUGCACCGAAGCUGCGGCAGCGACACUAUGUGUUUGUUGGGUAGGGGAGCGUUCUGUAAGCCUGCGAAGGUGUGCUGUGAGGCAUGCUGGAGGUAUCAGAAGUGCGAAUGCUGACAUAAGUAACGAUAAAGCGGGUGAAAGCCCGCUCGCCGGAAGACCAAGGGUUCCUGUCCAACGUUAAUCGGGGCAGGGUGAGUCGACCCCCUAAGGCGAGGCCCGAAAGGCGUAGUCGAUGGGAAACAGGUUUAAUAUUCCUGUACUUGGUGUUACUGCGAAGGGGGGACGGAGAAGGCUAUGUUAGCCGGGCGACGGUUGUCCCGGUUUAAGCAUGUAGGCUGAUUGUCCAGGCAAAUCCGGAUAAUCAAGGCUGAGGUGUGAUGACGAGGCACUACGGUGCUGAAGUAACAAAUGCCCUGCUUCCCAGGAAAAGCCUCUAAGCAUCAGGUAACAUUAAAUCGUACCCCAAACCGACACAGGUGGUCAGGUAGAGAAUACCAAGGCGCUUUGAGAGAACUCGGGUGAAGGAACUAGGCAAAAUGGUGCCGUAACUUCGGGAGAAGGCACGCUGGUGUGUAGGUGAGAGUCCCUGCGGAUGGAGCUGAGACCAGUCGAAGAUACCAGCUGGCUGCAACUGUUUAUUAAAAACACAGCACUGUGCAAACACGAAAGUGGACGUAUACGGUGUGACGCCUGCCCGGUGCCGGAAGGUUAAUUGAUGGGGUUAUCCGUAAGGAGAAGCUCUUGAUCGAAGCCCCGGUAAACGGCGGCCGUAACUAUAACGGUCCUAAGGUAGCGAAAUUCCUUGUCGGGUAAGUUCCGACCUGCACGAAUGGCGUAAUGAUGGCCAGGCUGUCUCCACCCGAGACUCAGUGAAAUUGAACUCGCUGUGAAGAUGCAGUGUACCCGCGGCAAGACGGAAAGACCCCGUGAACCUUUACUAUAGCUUGACACUGAACAUUGAGCCUUGAUGUGUAGGAUAGGUGGGAGGCUUUGAAGCGUGGACGCCAGUCUGCGUGGAGCCAACCUUGAAAUACCACCCUUUAAUGUUUGAUGUUCUAACGUUGGCCCUGACCGGGGUUGCGGACAGUGUCUGGUGGGUAGUUUGACUGGGGCGGUCUCCUCCCAAAGCGUAACGGAGGAGCACGAAGGUUAGCUAAUCCUGGUCGGACAUCAGGAGGUUAGUGCAAUGGCAUAAGCUAGCUUGACUGCGAGCGUGACGGCGCGAGCAGGUGCGAAAGCAGGUCAUAGUGAUCCGGUGGUUCUGAAUGGAAGGGCCAUCGCUCAACGGAUAAAAGGUACUCCGGGGAUAACAGGCUGAUACCGCCCAAGAGUUCAUAUCGACGGCCGGUGUUUGGCACCUCGAUGUCCGGCUCAUCACAUCCUGGGGCUGAAGUAGGUCCCAAGGGUAUGGCUGUUCGCCAUUUAAAGUGGUACGCGAGCUGGGUUUAGAACGUCGUGAGACAGUUCGGUCCCUAUCUGCCGUGGGCGCUGGAGAAUUGAGGGGGGCUGCUCCUAGUACGAGAGGACCGAGUGGACGCAUCACUGGUGUUCGGGUUGUCAUGCCAAUGGCACUGCCCGGUAGCUAAAUGCGGAAAGAUAAGUGCUGAAAGCAUCUAGCACGAAACUUGCCCCGAGAUGAGUUCUCCCCUGAGACUUUAAGUCUCCUGAAGGAACGUUGAAGACGACGACGUUGAUAGGCCGGGUGUGUAAGCGCAGCGAUGCGUUGAGCUAACCCGGUACUAAUGAACCGUGAGGCUUAACUUACAACGCCGAAG